ACGGGAGGCAGCAGUGGGGAAUAUUGCACAAUGGGCGCAAGCCUGAUGCAGCGAUGCCGCGUGAGGGAAGAAGGUUUUCGGAUUGUAAACCUCUGUCAUCGGGGACGAUAAUGACUGUACCCGAGAAGGAAGCUCCGGCUCACAACGAUCCGGCAGCCGCGGUAAUACGCCAGGAGCGAGCGUUAUCCGGAAUUACUGGGUGUAAAGGGAGUGUAGGCGGGACUGUAAGUCAGAUGUGAAAUAUGCCGGCUCAACUGGCAGACUGCAUUUGAAACUGCGGUGCUUGAGUGAAGUAGAGGUAAGCGGAAUUCCUAGUGUAGCGGUGAAAUGCGUAGAUAUUAGGAGGAACAUCAGUGGCGAAGGCGGCUUACUGGGCUUUAACUGACGCUGAGGCUCGAAAGCGUGGGGAGCAAACAGGAUUAGAUACCCUGGUA
rnacentral:rRNA from 1 species